rnacentral:lncRNA from 1 species
AGUAUCCAUUGUUGCUACCAUGUGGAACGUACUGUUGGGACGUGAAUAGUCAAAAUAAUAAUGGUUGGAAAUUGACAUGUCGUGAUUAUUAUGCGUAUAUGUUACAGAUCCGUGAACAUGAUGAUUCACUUUUACUACGAGGGGGCCGCCUGUUGCAACAAUAUGUCGUUGAUAAUUAUAUCAAAAUUGAAACACAGAAAUUAA